UACGGAGGGUGCAAGCGUUGUCCGGAGUUACUGGGCGUAAAGGGUGCGCAGGCGGCCUAGGAAGUGGCGCGUGAAAUCUCCUGGCUCAACUGGGAGGGUGGGCGCCAAACUCUUGGGCUUGAGGCUCGGAGGGGGGCGUGGAAUUCCGGGUGGAGCGGUGAAAUGCGUAGAGAUCCGGAGGAACACCGACGGCGUAGGCAGCGCCCUGGACGAGACCUGACGCUCAGGCACGAAAGCUGGGGGAGCGAACAGG
rnacentral:rRNA from 1 species